rnacentral:rRNA from 1 species
UACGUAGGGUGCGAGCGUUAAUCGGAAUUACUGGGCGUAAAGCGUGCGCAGGCGGUUUUGUAAGCCAGAUGUGAAAUCCCCGGGCUUAACCUGGGAAUGGCAUUUUGGGACUGCAAGGCUGGAGUGUGGCAGAGGAGACUGGAAUUCCUGGUGUAGCAGUGAAAUGCGUAGAUAUCAGGAGGAAUACCGAUGGCGAAGGCAGGUCUCUGGGC